rnacentral:lncRNA from 1 species
UGCUGUGUUGCUGUGCGGCUGUGCUGCUGUGUUGCUGUGCGGCUGUGCGGCUGUGCUGCUGUGUUGCUGUGCGGCUGUGCUGCUGUGUUGUGGGCAUGGACGAGGGAAUGAAUGUUUGCAGAGUGAUGCCCAGGAUUUCUGGCCCAGUCUGGGGCUAGGUCAACAGAUGUGGUGGCCAUGGUGUUGGGGGUGGGUGGGGCAGCAGUAGUUGUCACAAGCCCUCUCCUUGGUCAGGGCGCUGCCCAUGGGGCAUCUUUGACAGCUCUUUCCUCUUGAUUCCUAUUCAGGCCGUCUUUAUGUCCACCUGAGUCCAGACUCUUUCCUCACUUGUUCAUUCAUUCAAUGCAUGUUUAAUGAAGGACUGUUAUGCACCAGGAGGCAGAUAAAGUCUUGGAGGAAAAGAUGCAAUUCAGAAUAAGUCUCAUGAAUGGUGCAUGCAAUGGGGUCGGAGUGAGGAGCAAAGGACAUCAGGGCAGGGCGAAGGUGCCUGUGGGCACAGGCUCACUUCCCUCCUCUCCCUCCUGUUCCCUGCAGCUGCCGUAGUAGCUCACGUCCUGGGGGCCUCUUACCUGGGACUCUUGUAAUCAUUUCCCAGCUGGUCUAAAAUGCCCAACUCUCUCCCCUCCCAUUCAUCUGGAGCCUCAGGCCAGAUUUGUUCUCCCAAAGCCCAGUUCCCAGUUCCUGCUAAGAAAAACUUCCCUGACUCUCCUUGGCUGAUAAACGUGAAAUCUCUCUAGUCUGACAGUCAGCUGCCCAUUGGGGUCUGGCCUCAGUUUCCCAUUCAGCACUUCCUUCUCCAAGUUUUUUAUCCUUUCCCACCAAACAGUUCUGAUUGCCUUUACUAUGCCCAGGGGGCCAUGGCCUUUACUUGUCUUCCUCUCCUCCUCUGCCAGGCUCUGUCCUGGUGCCCUGUCUGUUAUUGUGGUCUCCUCUCCUUCCCAGACGUGUUGGUGGCUGAUGUGGAGGAGACAGCCAGCACCCAGGGGAGGUAUCACAGCACUGCC